rnacentral:tRNA from 1 species
GUUUGUAGCUUAAAUUAAAGCGUAGCACUGAAAAUGCUAAAAUGGUCCAACCCACUGAUA